UACGGGGGGAGCAAGCGUUGUUCGGAUUUACUGGGCGUAAAGGGCGCGUAGGCGGUCGUGACAAGUCACUUGUGAAAUCUCCGGGCUUAACUCGGAACGGUCAAGUGAUACUGUCGGACUAGAGUACAGAAGGGGCAACUGGAAUUCCCGGUGUAGCGGUGAAAUGCGUAGAUAUCGAGAGGAACACCUGCGGCGAAGGCGGGUUGCUGGGCUGAUACUGACGCUGAGGCGCGAAAGCCAGGGGAGCGAACGGG
rnacentral:rRNA from 1 species